rnacentral:rRNA from 1 species
GUAGUCCAUGCCGUAAACGGUGGGCGCUAGGUGUAGGGGGCUUCCGCGUCUUCUGUGCCGUAGCUAACGCAUUAAGCGCCCCGCCUGGGGAGUACGGCCGCAAGGCUAAAACUCAAAGGAAUUGACGGGGGCCCGCACAAGCGGCGGAGCAUGUGGAUUAAUUCGAUGCAACGCGAAGAACCUUACCUGGGCUUGACAUACACCAGAUCGCUGCAGAGAUGUAGUUUCCCUUGUGGUUGGUGUACAGGUGGUGCAUGGUUGUCGUCAGCUCGUGUCGUGAGAUGUUGGGUUAAGUCCCGCAACGAGCGCAACCCUUGUCUUAUGUUGCCAGCAUUUUAGUUGGGGACUCAUGAGAGACUGCCGGGGUUAACUCGGA